rnacentral:rRNA from 1 species
CGGCGGCGUGCCUAAUAAUGCAAGUCGAGCGGGCAGGGUAGGCGACUACUCUGUCAGCGGCGGACGGGUGAGGAACACGUGAGUGACCUGGCCGGGGGCGGGGGAUAUCGGGCCGAAAGGCGCGGCAAUCCCGCAUACGCCUUGGUGGCGACGGCGCCAGGGGAAAGCGCGGUAGCGCACCCCCGGGGGGGCUCGCGGCCCAUUAGCUAGUUGGGGGGGUAACGGCCUCCCAAGGCGACGAUGGGUAGCCGGCCUGAGAGGGUGGACGGCCACACUGGGACUGAGACACGGCCCAGACUCCUACGGGAGGCAGCAGUAGGGAAUCUUCCACAAUGGGCGCAAGCCUGAUGGAGCAACGCCGCGUGGGCGAAGACGGCCUUCGGGUUGUAAAGCUCUGUCGGUCGGGACGAGGACCCGCGGGGGGCCGCGGGGGGGCCGGUACCGGCCGAGGAAGCCCCUGCAAACUACGUGCCAGCAGCCGCGGUAAG